UUCAUUUCACUUUUUCUUGCUCCAUCCCCUACGAAGACCCUCCUCAUCUCACUUUUCCAUUUCCAUCGUCUUUCCCAGAAUGCUUCUGCCUUCCAUCCAAAUCGAUUCCACUUGUUCUUUGUCUUCAUCUUCUCCGAAAUUCCAAGACCCAACAAUUGGCCCAUGUUGUGGAGCUCGUAUCGAAGAGCCACGAAAGACAGAGCCGAUUUGAAACAACAGCAACCUGUCGUAUGCUCCACCAGAUCUGAAAUUUGAAGCCCACAGAGCAGUCCCCAUAGGCACCAAGGUCUUCGUCUUCUUCUCAAACCCAAGACCCACAAACCCACGUUUUAGGCUCCUACUGAAGAGCCACGAACCACAAACUCAAUUUGAACCCACUAACCAGAGCCACGAAGCCCUGUCAUCUUCUCCACCACAUCUAAAAUGUGAAGCCCACAGAGCACCGAAACCCUAACCCUAACCUAAAAAAAUUUGCCAUACUCAUCAAUCAUGCCGUUGCAAAAUUAGAUGACUACCAUUGGUGCACUUGGACGUUGGAGCAAGGGGAAUAUCAAUAAGUUCUUCUAAUGUUGGUUUAUACAUAUUACUACAGAAACAAAUAUUUCUCAUUUGACUGUAAGCUGUCAUCUUCUUCAAUGUAUAUUAAUUCAGAUCUUUACUGUUUCAAUAUUAAUUCUUCUCAUCCUUGGUUUAUAACUAAAGCAUUAAUAUGAUCAGACAUCUUGCAGGAUAGUUCAAAAAACAUAAAUUUGUGACAAGCAACAUCUCGGUGCCAGUAGAUAUUACCGGUUGUAGUCAUGAUGAGUUAGGUACACAUUGGCCAUGCGUAUUUAAUUGUAGAGGUUCAUUUUGGCUGGUUCAAGUAACCAUCUACAUUAUAAAGUGUUUCGUGCACACAGCUUGUUUAUAUUCUGUUUUUCUAUUUUGGGCUCUGAUAAAUUAUUUUUCUUUGAAUCCCUGUGGAGAAUUAAAUGAAAAUUAAAAGUAGUGGAAUGAAUUUCCAUUUGAUGAGCUUUGGAUUCUGAGGGAUGAUGGCUAUUUGGGUUUGUUUCUGUUUUGCAUAUAUGCUAUUGUGAAAAAAUGGGACUUUGUUUGUGAUGGUGUUUUGUAAAUUAUAUGUGAAACUUAUUCAUUUAUUUAGUUGGGAAAAAUCUUGUAUGUCUGAAGUUAAUGAAAUUAAAAUGUUGGUAUUGCUAUUGCUAGGAGUUACUCGUUCUAUUUCAUAUUCCAUCUUGAAAUGUGUUGUACUGCUUGUAUGAACUGGAUUUUGAGGGAUGAUGAGGGUUAGUCUUCUUUUUAUCAAGUGGCAUAGUAAAUGUGGUUGGCUUUCUGGAAUAGUUUCUGUUUUGCCUAUAUGCUAUUGUGAAAAAAUGGGGCUUUGCUUGUGAUGUUGUUUUGUAAAUUAUAUGUGAAACUUAUUCAUUUAUUUUGUUGGGACUGAUACUGUUAGGAGUUACUGAAAUGUUGGAAUUGAUAUCAUUUUCUUCACACAUUGGAACACAUACUGAAAUUCUUGGUACUGCUACUGCUAGGUGUUGGAAUUGAUUCAGUUUUCUUGAAUCACCAAUCUACAUGCGUAUAUUCUCCCUAUCUUCUAUUUGACAUGAUUGUUAUUUUGGUUCAUGUUAGAAAUAUCAUCAUCAUCAUCAUCAAUGUCUUCUUCUUCUUUUGCUAAACAUACCUUUGGUCAAUCACUGCACUUAUGUGAGGUCAAACCCACAUUGAAAUACUCAACUACUGCAAAAAAUCCUGGAUGAGCCUUCUUAGGGUGUCCAAACUACAACACAGAGGGAUUACCAUUCUGCAAGUAUUUCCAAUGGGAAAAUAGUAACAAGUAACUGAGCUCCAACUUCGAGAAGGAAUUGAUGACCUACUACAGAAGGCGAAAGAUCUCGAGAAGACAGUCGAGCUUCUCGAGAAAAGGGAAAUUGACCUUCGCAAGAUAGUGAAUUAGUUCGAAAAGGAGUUGGGGUGUCACGCACAAGACACUGAAAGGAAGCUUUUACGCACACUAAAGCGAAUGUAUUGGGAUGCUGCAUUAGUACUCUGUUUUUGUGUUGGACUUUGGCUUCUGUUUUGAACUCCAGACUUUAUGUCUCUUUUGAUGUUUGAAUUUUUGGUUAUUCCUUGAAGGAUGAAGGAAAUGACAUUAACUAAGCUCUUGAAUAUUUGUAGGCUCUUGUUCUCUACACUUGGAAGGAGUCUAGAGAAGUGAAUUAAUUUUGGUUAUUCCCUGAAGGUGUUGGAAGGAGUUGGUGUGAAAUGAAUAUUUGUACAUCCUUGAACUCUAGAGUUGAUUUGCCUUUUUAAAGUUUGAUGCAAGUAAUGUAAAUACU